rnacentral:rRNA from 1 species
AUUGAACGCUGGCGGCAUGCUUUACACAUGCAAGUCGAACGGCAGCGCGGGCUUCGGCCUGGCGGCGAGUGGCGAACGGGUGAGUAAUACAUCGGAACGUGCCCAGUAGUGGGGGAUAGCUCGGCGAAAGCCGGAUUAAUACCGCAUACGACCUGAGGGUGAAAGCGGGGGAUCUUCGGACCUCGCGCUAUUGGAGCGGCCGAUGGCAGAUUAGCUAGUUGGUGGGGUAAAGGCCUACCAAGGCGACGAUCUGUAGCUGGUCUGAGAGGACGACCAGCCACACUGGGACGGAGACACGGCCCAGACUCCUACGGGAGGCAGCAGUGGGGAAUUUUGGACAAUGGGCGAAAGCCUGAUCCAGCAAUGCCGCGUGUGAUGAAGGCCUUCGGGUUGUAAAGCACUUUUGGCGGGAACGAAAAGGACUGUGCCAAUACCACGGUUCGAUGACGGUACCCGCAGAAUAAGCACCGGCUAACUACGUG